UUAUUUAAGUUAAAUAAAUGAUUUCAAUAAUUACAAUUUUCACUAAAAGUGAACAGUCAUCUAAAAAAGAAACAGCCUGUAAUGUUAAUAAAACUUCCCAAUUUCACAAAUGUGACAUUUUUACACAUUAAAACCUUAGAAAAGUUCACACAUUAUUAAUUGUUUCCCCUACUUGUGACCUCAGCUCAAAGUAACUCAAAGGAUGCAGUCGGUCAGGCCGACUUCAGCAACAUAAGCCCCCCAUAAGCUGCUGUCCCACCGCCACAAGUGAGGCUGUAACAGAGAAAUACGCACUUUAAGUUACACUUCCUUCCUUGGGGAGGAUCAAGGUGACACUUGCUUUUUGAAAGGUUGCGUGUUCUUCAUUUAAAGUGCUCAGAAGAGGAGCAAAAUCAAUUGGACGUGUCCACUGAUGAAGAUCACGUAACAUUUUUAAAUGGACUUGAUGGUGCUGGCGUGCAGACGGCCUCACCUGGUCCCCUGAGCACCUCUGGUGAAGUGGGGCCGCUGCCCUUUCUGCCGCGGUGGAUUGGAGGAAUGUGGCAUGCAACACACACACACACACACACACACAGACAUAAACACACACGCUGAGAGGACCUCCCACCCCAGGACCGUAUACAGCCGAUAUGCACAGCGGCAUUUUUGAAGGCUUCCCACUCAAACAGGUCUGUUGCUGCUGAGCUGCUGAGUGGAGCUUUCAGAGAAUAAUGACACCUGUUGUAGAUCGCAUGAUUAUUUCUGCAGUAUUUUAAUCAUAUGCACUUAAACCUGAGCUUUGGUAUUGAUACAUACGUUUACAGUAGCUAGAUGCCACUUGUCAUACAUAUUGAUCUUUUUUUAUACCCCGUAUAAAAUGUAUAUUUGCACUUUUUCGUCUAGUGUCUAGAUGAGCAAUUAAGUAUUAUUUGUUAUAUUCUUUCACACAGGCAGCAGCAGUCUUCAUAUGGCCCUCCUUUUAUAUAGUCUGAAUGCAGAUUAAUACUGGAUGAUUUUCUCAUUUCAUAAUAUCAUACAAUAACUAUUCACAAAAAUCUGAAAUCUUAAAGAACCUGCUUUUUCUUGUUGAAAAUAACUUAUCACCCGAUGUACAAAUACCCUUCAUUCAAAAGUGAAGAGUACCUUCUGCAUAUGUAGGUAUAAACGGCGCCUUCUGUGAGAAAAUACUCUUCUUAUUAAUACACUAAAGAAAACUUAUUAAUUAAUGUUAUAUUCCACUCCUGAAAAAUAAACGAUUUUGAUUUCUCAAUGACCUCAAACACGUUUUUGACACCUGCCAUGAAACUCAACGACAGGGCUAAGCCAUUUUAACUUAUGUGUAUUUCCUCUGCUGACAAAGACCAAGUGUCCUUUAUUGAAAUCAAGUGAAUUAUUUCCCCCUAGCGAGUAUAAAAUCUGUGUACAAUGCCGUUUAUCUGCCGGUUAUCUGUGGACUUUUGUAAUGUGUCCUGUGAACGACAAAUUGCUCUUCCUGUUUUCUCUCUCGUCCGUCUCCUGCAGCCUCGGUUGUUUUCGCCCUUCUCCUCUCGUGCGUCUCCGACAAUCCCAGAUUCCAGAUGGGAGUAGUUUUUACCGGACAGGCCGACGGCCUCCCACGUCAUGCUGGCACACACGCGUAUACAGUGGAUGAUACAAUAAUGUGAUUCUUAAAACAUCCCCACACCUGCUGCUGCUGGCUUCAUGUCAGCCUUAAUGAUCCCUCACCCCCUGUGACCUUUAACCCUUCGUGACCUCUCACAGUCAGCGUGUCGUGCCCCGAAUCGCUCUCCUCUCCUCCAUUGUUGCGAAGUGCUUUCAUGCAAAAUAUAUGAGCAUUUCCUGGAAAAAAGGUGUGAAUUGGAUACUUGUUGAUGUGCUGGAAUUAAUUCUGACAUGCUGCAAGUCCACUCAAAUGUCUCGUCUCAAUACCAAUACGUAAUUAUUCAACGUUAAAUACAUGCUUAAACCGUUUAUUUCACGUUUCAUUACGCGGCUGUUUCAGACUGUUGAAGAUGCCGAGCAGUUUGGCGUAAUGCAGGUGAGUAGAUCACUGUGGUGGCGGGCGUGGUUUUGGCUCGUCUGCAGCGGGAGAGAGGGGGGAGUGGCUCAGGGAACGGAUUGGCAUCAGCACAGCUGACUAAAUAAAUAAAGUUAUAUUGCACCCAACCCUGCCGUGUCGUGCUGACUCUGUGCCCCCGAGUACCCGGAUGGUUUGUGGGUCCGUUGUGAUGCAUAAACGUUUAGUUGUCAGGCUGGGACGCCUUUAAAGGAACAGUUGGUUACCUCAUAUUUAACAAGAUAUUUACACAUAUUUAGUUCUCGGAGAUGCUGAUCGGCGAGUGUUAUCACCUUUAUACGCCGAGCCGUUUCCUCUCAUUUCCUGUAAGCUGCCGCUGAUAUAAACAGUAUUUGCCGUCGAGUCAUGAGUGUUGUGGUUCCUCCCUCCGGCCAACAAAACAAACAUAAGAUAUUACAAUUCUCUUUUAAAGCGAGGCCUAAUAAAAGUCAGAUUCCGUCAUGGUUAUUGAGAUUUGAAUUACUUCCAAACACCAAAGGAUGAAUCAAAUGCUGUGCGAAGAGAAACAGAAGGCUUGUUGCUUGUAUGUUCACGGGGUCGAACUGAGGAGGACGGAGGCCUGAACAGCUCGUUCUCGUCACAACUCGUCCCACUGACGCUCGGCCAGACUCCUACUUUCUGUACACGCUGGCACGCGGUGGGAAGUAAACACAGUGGUUAACGUUGAGGAUUCAAAACAAGGGAAGCUGCUGAGAUUAAGGCGACAAAAUCACACCGGAGACAAACGCGUGACAAACAGCGAUCACGUUACUGUGAGGAAACUUAACAACACCAGCUCACAAAUUGUCUAAAAUAAUCCCUGUCAUAGACUCACUGGGCGUUUCAUUAUUACUGAUUUAUGGACAUUUUUACAUCCUUAACCAUUAUACUAUUUGAAAAAUCCAAGGUCGGAAUAAAGCGCUUUGUGGCCCCCGAUAACAACUGUCCCUCUCUGUUCCAGUGUGAACUGGGCUCCUUCUCCAUUGAAGUUGAACAUGUUUUUCACGGCCUGCGUUGUGAUCCCCGGCAGAGGAAGGGCCCGACUGGUGAAAUGAAGUGUACACAGACACCGGGAUGGCAGGGAGGAAGAGGCCGAGGAGGAGGAGGCCGGGAUGGCAGGGAGGAAGAGGCCGAGGAGGAGGAGGCCGGGAUGGCAGGGAGGAAGAGGCCGAGGAGGAAGAGGCCGAGGAGGAGGAGGCUGGGAUGGCAGGGAGGAAGAGGCCGGGGAGGAAGAGGCUGGGAUGGCAGGGAGGAAGAGGCCGAGGAGGAAGAGGCUGGGAUGGCAGGGAGGAAGAGGCCGAGGAGGAAGAGGCUGGGAUGGCAGGGAGGAAGAUGCCGAGGAGGAGGAGGCCGGGAUGGCAGGG
ensembl:lncRNA